rnacentral:tRNA from 1 species
UCCUUGGUAGCUCAGCUGGUAAAGAAUCUACCUGCAAUGCAGGAGACCCUGGUUUGAUUCCUGGUCAAGAAG